UACGAAGGGGGCUAGCGUUGCUCGGAAUCACUGGGCGUAAAGCGCACGUAGGCGGCUUCUUAAGUCAGGGGUGAAAUCCUGGAGCUCAACUCCAGAACUGCCUUUGAUACUGAGGAGCUUGAGUCCGGGAGAGGUGAGUGGAACUGCGAGUGUAGAGGUGAAAUUCGUAGAUAUUCGCAAGAACACCGGUGGCGAAGGCGGCAUCCUGGACCGACACUGACGCUGAGGAGCGAAAGCCAGGGGAGCAAAGCGGG
rnacentral:rRNA from 1 species